UUCUCACGCUGUCCCGAGUGGACAAACUGCCAGCUGUGGUGUCUGCCCUAGCCAAAGCAAGAGUUUCACUUGGUCUUUUGGAUAAAAACAUGCUAUCCUUUUUUGGAAGAAAUUUUUGAUAUGUGUCAUCGGGAGCCAUGACUUCAUGGAAGGGGGAACCUGCCCAGAAGACUCAGGAAGACACCAAGAGGAGAAAGAGAAAAGAAGGAAGAGAGAAGUAAGCUGGGGAGGAGAUGGCCAUGGAGCAGACCGGAAAAUGGAGUCUCAGCCAUGUUCCCAUGCCCUGACACGUCCACCUGGGAACCUGAGAGGUUCCUUCCUGCACCUUCUCUGAUAUCCUGGAGUCCUUGCAAUCGCCGUUCACAGAUCUCUGACCACUGAUGCACCAUCUCCUACCCUGCUUGCUCGAGAAGCACUCGGCCCACCCACCUGGAAGCAGUGGCACCUACUUCUCCACUGGCCAUGCUCUCCCCUGUUUGUACCCUGGGAAGGGAGAAAGGAAGGCUACAGAGCUGCUGGGGCCCAAGUGCAAUGGUUCUUCCAAUUCGCCACCCAUUUCUCUAGCAGAAUUAAAGCCUUUAGGUUCACUCAUUUCACUUCAAGUGAUAUAAAACACCAAAU